AACGAACGCUGGCGGCAGGCUUAACACAUGCAAGUCGAGCGCCCCGCAAGGGGAGCGGCAGACGGGUGAGUAACGCGUGGGAAUCUACCCAUCUCUACGGAAUAGCGCAUGGAAACGUGUGCUAAUACCGUAUACGUCCUUCGGGAGAAAGAUUUAUCGGAGAUGGAUGAGCCCGCGUUGGAUUAGCUAGUUGGUGGGGUAAAGGCCUACCAAGGCGACGAUCCAUAGCUGGUCUGAGAGGAUGAUCAGCCACACCGGGACUGAGACACGGCCCGGACUCCUACGGGAGGCAGCAGUGGGGAAUAUUGGACAAUGGGCGCAAGCCUGAUCCAGCCAUGCCGCGUGAGUGAUGAAGGCCCUAGGGUUAAAGCUCUUUCACCGGUGAAGAUAAUGACGGUAACCGGAGAAGAAGCCCCGGCUAACUUCGUGCCAGCCGCCGCCGUAACAC
rnacentral:rRNA from 1 species